rnacentral:rRNA from 10 species
GCUUACGGCCAUACCACCUUAGGCACGCCCGAUCUCGUCUGAUCUCGGAAGCUAAGCAGGGUCGGGGCUGGUUAGUACUUGGAUGGGUGACCGCCUGGGAAUAUCAGGUGCUUUAAGCA